rnacentral:rRNA from 1 species
CCGGACCUCUAAUCGGAAAAGACCACCCGCUGAGUUUAAGCAUAUCA